GUGAAUCAGAGUCGCUUCGGCGCUCAACCCCUCACUUUCUAACUCUGUGCAUUUGUAUCGCCAUUAGUAUUUAUUUACUAUUCGGCUUAUCACCUUUUAACAUCAGUCAAUGAAUGUCAAUACAAAACAAAAA
rnacentral:misc_RNA from 1 species